UUUUGACAUGACAGUUGAAACUGUUUUGUGUUUGAUAAUAAAUCUUUUAAAAGGCUGUAAAAUUUAUAUCAGUUUGAAUUAUUAAAAUGAAGAUUUUUGCUGCAGACGUUAACUUAAGUGAUGAAUUUGUUAAAAUUAAUGACCUUUUUAAUGCCUCUUGUGAUAUUAAAGCACAACAAGAUUGUUUGGUUAAGCUAGAUGAUCAUUUUAAACAUGACGCAUCUCUUGCAUAUAGAACAGAAGCAGGAAAUUUGUUGGCCAAGAUAUAUUUGCUUACACCUUUAAAACAUCCACUAAGGAAAACAUUACUUCGAAUGUUUGAUAAAACUACAUGUAUUGAUCUAAAUGAACCGUUGUGUUUGUAUUUGACCAUUCAAGUAAAGCAGAUUUGUGAUAAUUUGUUUCAAGAUUUAAAUGCCAUAAACAAUAUAAUCAAUAGUUUGUAUGUAGUGGUGGAGAAUGAAAACAUACUUAUUCAUGACGUAACAGAAGAUGUAUUUGUGUUUUUGAAGUACAUCAUCAAUGAUUUAUAUUGUAGGACACAAGGAAAUUCGAAUUUACCUAACUUAUUGCCUGAACAAGUAAAUAACUAUUUACAACACUUCAUUAGAAUAACUUUAGCACUGUGUCAAAAAUAUGAACCCUCUCAGGACAACAGUUGUGAAUUUUUAAUGCUUUCUUUCAAAAUUUGUAUGCAUCCUAAUGUUACAUUUGAUACAAGAGCAAAUUGUGGUCACAUCAUGCUAAUUGUCUGUAAAAACGUUACAGAAACUCUGUUUACUAAAGAAAUGAAUAAAAAUGAUAUUUGGAAAGAGUUUAUUACUCUUUUGAACAAUCAACACUCUUAUCUGAAGGACUAUUUAGAGUUUGAUAGAUAUGAAAGUAAUAAUGUUGAAGUAACAGAAAUUUUCGUUGUAUGUAUAAUGUUGGGUAUAUUAAAGACUGUUCCUCUUGAAAUACUUCAGGCACACACUAUAAAUAACUACCCUGUAAUAACAUAUUUUUUUAAUGAAUUGCUGAACAGUGUAAAGCGUUUUACAUGCAAACCAACUCAAAUUUUGGAAAUAACACAAGCAAUGCUGUUAAUGAGCAAUAGUGUACAUUAUCUGGGUCAAGAAGAGUUAAAGUUAGUGUUGGAAGAUGCGUUACCGUUUGUGUUUAGUCAUUUAAAUCAUUACAUGAACACAAUUCGCUCUAACACUACGGCAAUAUUUAUUAAUUUUAUAAAAUGUGCCAAACAACGAGAUUUAAUUGGCCUAAUUAUUGAUGAAGCUUUUAAACUGCAAAACAGCGAGAACAGUUUUUACCAAGUUUUGGAGGUACUGAGUAAAGAAAUUAGUUGUUCAAUGUUUAUCAAGAAACAUUUAAGUUUCCCCAAGUUUUUACUUUCUAAUUUAAUAAAAACGGACUUGGCCAACGAAAUUUGCGCUUGUUUCAAGAAUCUGGCGAACCUUCACUUUCACGAAGAAUCAAGAGAGAAUUGGGUGGAAUGUUGGAUCUCGGCUCUUAUAACUUUUUUAGGAAAUUGUCCAGAAGAAUGUAACAAAUAUUGUCACGAUUUAUUUAUAGAAUUGUUUAAAAUAGAUCAAACAGUUAUCAAAACUUUUUUACUUAACCAGAAGGGUUCAGAAAACGAAAUAAUAAUUUAUCUUGCUUGUUUACUACACCUACGAAAUCAUGGUAUCCCUUUACAAACAACUGAAAUUUACGGAGUAAAUUCUAACGAAACAGUUUUGUGGAGAUCUCUUGUAAACUACGAACUUUUGGAGGCUCUUAAAUUUCAUCAUAACGAUAUCAUUCGUGUUUCAGUUUUGGCGCUCGUCGUCGAAAGUCAUAAAAGUACCGAAACUUUUACACAGUGGGAAUUAGACUUUUUAAUUAGUUAUUUUCAAAAAAACACCUCCGUGCUCUCCGCCAACACUCGCCAACAAAUUAUGGCUUUAGGAAGAAAAAUGUUUGCGAGAUAUAACGAAAGUAUGAAAGUGUUAAAACGAAAUGAAGCUCAGUUAAAAAAUAAACUGAAAGGAAAGGAACAACUGGCUUUAAAACUAAAUUUAAAAAGUACACUGGAUUGUUUAGAAAGUUACGAAAAGUUUUGGUUUAAUUUGUUCUCCCAGGUGUUAUCCAUCGGUCUACAUUCGGGAGCCAAUUAUUCUAGAAGAUUUUGUUGUCUAGAAUUACUUAUUUUAUCCUCAAAAGUAGUGGACGACAAAAAAUGGAUUUCUGCAUGGCACAAAGAGAAUGUACAACAUCUAAAAGGCAUAAUUGAAACAGAUACUUAUGAAACAAAUAAAGAAAAGGCAGUAAUAUUGUCCCAAAAAAUUGGUAGCGACAGAAUGGGUUUAAAUGUGAAAACGGAGGCUGCAAUUUAUUUUAAAAAUGUUGUUAGCAAUUUAACAAGUUUAAAGCCUGCAGAUACUUUAUCAGGUUCUUAUAUGUUCGAUGUAAUUUUGGAGAGUUCCCACGUGACAGGAAUAAUAAAAGAAAAUAUGAAAAACGGAUCGGAAAAUGAAGACAAAGUAUACAUGGCUAUUUCAUUUAUUUUAGAGAAUAUUUUCGAAGCCAUCGACUUUGCUAAAAAUAAUUUAAAAAAAGCCGCAGAAACUAAACCAUUACACGGCUUAUUUUUGGCAUUAAGGCACUUAAUGAAACAUAUGGUUACUAGAGAUUUGGCAGAACCCAUAUACAGAGACAUAUUAGACAAAUGUGUAAAGGCGUGUUUUAUGGUUCUUCCAAUCAUUUUCCAAGUCGUUUGUAAUUCUUCCCCUGAAGGCUACAUUCCCGAGGACAGCUUUAGUAAAGAAGACGAAACAUGUACAGCUCAAAUGCUUCUAGUCUACACGUGGCGCGCUGCUAAAGAAACUUCACUAUUUUUGGGCGAAAUUGCUUUAAAUUUACCAAUUUGUGACUCUGACGAAUCUCCGAAUGAUGGUGUGAUAAGUGUGGAUUUAAUGCAAAGAAUUGGUGACUUCUUCGUGGAUUUUUUGAUGACAGUCAAACAUCGUGGAGCCUUUGAACAGGGCUAUAUUGGCUUCACUAAUUACUGUAAGAGACUUUGGAGAUUGCGUAAUUAUAAACUUAGGAGACUUCCGGAAAUGUAUCUCACGAAAAUAAUGAGCAGUUUACAAGGCAAAUUUGAGCACAUAAAUGCAUGCGCGACUAGAAGAAGCGCAGGACUUCCUUUCAUGGUUCAGGCGGUGUUAACGACAGAACCCAAAUUAGAAGGCAGAUUGUUUAAUCAAACCAUGAAGACCUUACUAAGCUUGGCGAAGAAUGAAGGAGACGAUAAUGUUGAACAAAAAGUUCAUUCUUUAAAUAUAUUAAAAGCCCUUUAUAAGCACAACCAAUUGGGGGAAGCAGUUACCCCGUACGUAGCCCAGGGAGUAAUGAUUGCCAUUCGUGGACUCUCAAAUUCAAGCUGGAGUAUUCGAAAUUCUGCUACAUUACUCUUUUCUUCCCUGAUGACGAGAAUGUUCGGUGUUUCGAGGAAUAAAAAGUCUAUUAGUUCUAAAAAUAAAUUAACAGGUCAUGUAUUUUUCAUGCGGUACCCUCUUCUUUACGAUUUUUUGCUGAAACAAUUGAAAAAUAGAUCAAAAGACGAGAACUGUCCCAGCUUGUAUGGGAUCCUGCUCAUUUUUGGGCACCUGUACCCUGGAAAUCGUAACAACGACUCUGAGUACAAAUUAAGUGUAUUUUUGCCUUAUGUCGAGGCGUGCUUGUCUAAUAGUGUUUAUCAAACGAGAGACUUGGCUGCUGCCGCUUCUGUCGCUAUAAUUUCUACUCAAGAUAGAGACGGCUACGUUUGGAAUAUUUUAAAGAAAUUACCAAGAAUAAAAACAGAAAAUAACAGACAUGGACUUCUUCUCCAGAAUGCUGUGCUUCCCCUGAUGCCUCAACUGUUCUUAAGUUGUCUGUAUGCGACUUCUUUCUUGAUAAUAAAUGUUUAUUUUACCAAAAGGAUCCUCUUCUAUCAGCUCGGAAUUUGCUUAUUAAGGUUCCGAUUUAAUAAAAUGCUGGUACAUGGUCACUACAUUAACAGAAGACGACGACAGUAUGGUGCGAAAUAGAAUAUCACAUCUUGCAGCUGUUCCUUUUUCAUGUGAAUCUAUUCCUAUCAUUUUGCCCAAAUAUAAUUUGGAAACCAUACAAUCUGCAAAGGAGAAGAUAUUAGAUCAUGCUUUCUUAAUUCUCCCCGACUUGCCUCUCCUGUCGUA
rnacentral:misc_RNA from 1 species